UUACUUGGGUGCACAAUAUUUUCCAGGGCAUACUUACCAACGAGACAAGGUGUCUGCGAUGUGAAACAGUGACUGCAAGAGACGAAACAUUCCUAGACCUAAGCCUUGAUAUCGAACAGAACAGUUCGAUAACUAGCUGUUUGAAAAACUUCAGCUCUACAGAGACUCUUCACGCUGAAGACAAAUUCUUCUGUGACAAAUGCUGCAGCUUACAAGAAGCA